rnacentral:rRNA from 1 species
GGUCCGGCCGGGAACUCAAAGGAGACUGCCAGUGAUAAACUGGAGGAAGGUGGGGAUGACGUCAAGUCAUCAUGGCCCUUACGACCAGGGCUACACACGUGCUACAAUGGCGCAUACAAAGAGAAGCGACUUCGCGAGAGCAAGCGGACCUCAUAAAGUGCGUCGUAGUCCGGAUUGGAGUCUGCAACUCGACUCCAUGAAGUCGGAAUCGCUAGUAAUCGUGGAUCAGAAUGCCACGGUGAAUACGUUCCCGGGCCUUGUACACACCGCCCGUCACACCAUGGGAGUGGGUUGCAAAAGAAGUAGGUAGCUUAACCUUCGGGAGGGCGCUUACCACUUUGUGAUUCAUGACUGGGGUGAAGUCGUAACAAGGUAACCGUAGGGGAACCUGCGGUUGGAUCACCUCCUUA